rnacentral:rRNA from 1 species
CCCUUAGAUGUCCGGGGCUGCACGCGCGCUACACUGAAGGAAUCAGCGAGCUAAAACCAUUGUCGAAAGGCAUUGGUAAACCCAUUAAAAUCCUACGUGAUUGGGAUCGGGAAUUGCAAUUAUUUCCCUUGAACGAGGAAUUCCCAGUAAGUGUGGGUCAUAAGCUCGCGUUGAUUACGUCCCUGCCCUUUGUACACACCGCCCGUCGCUGCCCGGGACUGAGCCGUUUCGAGAAAAGCGGGGACUGCUGCUGUCGGGGCUUUCGGGCCUUGGCUUCGGUGGAAACCGCUUUAAUCGCAGUGGCUUGAACCGGGCAAAAGUCGUAACA